CUGCCUUAAACUAAUGAGUAAGGAAAACAAAGCGAGCGGCGGGAGCUGUUCGCCGCGCUGACCCAUUGGUGCGCAAGAAUUUAUGGAGGGGUUAUAGGCUGGCCGAGUGUUGACGCUGCUUACUUUGCAGAACUCUCUCGAGCGGGCCUCCC